UAAACUGGUUACCAAUGUAAUUAGAGCAGUAAACAUACACGUUUUGUCCUAACCUGUGGUAUAUGGUCUGAUAUAUCACGGCUGUCAGCCAAUCAGCAUUCAUGCCUCGAACCACCCAGUUUAUAUGAGUUAUUAUUAGCUUGUCUUCUACCAUAACUUAACUAUGAAUAUGCCUACUAGCUAACAACUAUAAUGUCAUUAUUAUUCAACAAUUAUAAUUUGAGGUGUUCUGUAGACUGUGUGUUCUCCUGUUGAUUGAAAGCCCUAUUUUAAUGGUAUUUUUCCUGCACUGGGCUUCAUACUAUUAAACUGGCUGUGAGAAAGGUCGAGGGCUGGGUGAGACGGGUGGAGAUUAGUGGGUGAUGAUUUGGACAGCGUCACACUGGUUCUGUAACCCAGCGACACUCACCCACUCUCUGUCACUGAGGUCUAUCUCUCUUUCUGUUUAUCUAUCUCUCUUUCUCUAGAUACUAUCUAUCUCUUUCUGUUUAUCUCUCUCUUUCUCUAUCUAGCUCUCUCUGUCUUUCUCUAGCUACUAUCUCUUUCUCUCUCUCUCUCGCUCUCUCUCUCUCUCUCUCAGCCACAGAGCAUGACCCCGCCCCUAACCUGACAUUAUAAGGACAGACCAACUGAUUAGCAUAUUCAUAUGUACAUCAUUAGCAUAUUCCUAUGUACAUCAUUAGCAUAUUCCUAUGUACACCAUUAGCAUAUUCCUAUGUACACCAUUAGCAUAUUCCUAUGUACACCAUUAGCAUAUUCCUAUGUACAUCAUUAGUAUAUUCCUAUGUACAUCAUUAGCAUAUUCCUAUGUACACCAUUAGCAUAUUCCUAUGUACACCAUUAGCAUAUUCCUAUGUACAUCAUUAGUAUAUUCCUAUGUACAUCAUUAGCAUAUUCCUAUGUACACCAUUAGCAUAUUCCUAUGUACAUCAUUAGUAUAUUCCUAUGUACAGCAUUAGCAUAUUCCUAGUCCACAGACUAGACUGUGUAUGUUUAGCAAAGUAUCUCUACCACACACAGUCCCUCUCUUCUGUCUGCGUGUGUUUUAGCCUCAGCGUUUAAAUAGAACCCCCACUCUCUGUCAGGUCACUCUCUGUCAGGUCAUUCUGUCAGGUCACUCUCUGUCUUCAAGACUGAGCAGCUGUGGGUGUGUCAGGUCACUCUCUGUCAGGUCAUUCUCUGUCAGGUCACUCUCUGUCUUCAAGACUGAGCAGCUGUGGGUGUGUCAGGUCACUCUCUGUCAGGUCAUUCUGUCAGGUCACUCUCUGUCUUCAAGACUGAGCAGCUGUGGGUGUGUCAGGUCACUCUCUGUCAGGUCAUUCUCUGUCAGGUCACUCUCUGUCUUCAAGACUGAGCAGCUGUGGGUGUGUCAGGUCACUCUCUGUCAGGUCACUCUCUGUUAGGUCACUCUCUGUCAGGUCACUCUCUCGUUAGGUCAUUCUCUGUUAGGUCACUCUCUGUCAGGUUACUCUCAUGUUAGGUCACUCUCUUGUUAGGUCACCUGACACAAACCAGUAGGUGAUGGUGUUAGGACUUAUUGAUGACUGUGGAUCAAUACCACCAAUGUUUCUAGACCCACUGAUGCACAGAGAGGAGGGACCGCGUGAUCCAACAACUUUUUAUAUUUAUGCUUCAGGAAAUGUUACUGCAGAUGAACUUUCCAGCUUUCCUCCACGAUGCUAUACACACAUUCAUAAUAACACACUUAUUAACAUAAGAAAAGAAGGGCAUUGAAGAUGCAAUGAUAUUUGUAAAUAAAUGCUUUCCUUUAUUGUG